GGGGCGGCGCGAGGACUCGGCGGCGGCCCCCUCCCCGCGGGCCCGGGAGCCGACGCCGGCUGGGGCCGCACCUCCGGGACCGGGCAGCGCGGCCGAGAAAUCGCCGGCUGGACAUCCAGAGCACCUAGCCUGUUUUUUUCUGCAUCUUGAAUUGAGCAUUAACAGGACUCUUGAAGUUGCUCCAGGGCCAGUGGUGACCAGAUGAGGACUGGAGUCAAGUGUGCAGAGUCUUGGCGAUUAACAUGGAAACCAAACUGACCCAGGGUUAAGUAAAGGCUUAAUCCAGGAGAAGAACUUGACAGGUGAGGCUACGGGG
rnacentral:lncRNA from 1 species